AAAAAAAAAAAAAACCAGAAUAUCGUGUCUUAGAUUUCUCUCAUCCUAAAAAGAAACCCACCUCCCAAAUUUCGGUCUUGUUCGAGAAUUCGGCUUUCUUACGGCUCUCUGUACAAAAGCCACCCUUUUUCACAAGGUGUGGGUCAAGUUCAAGCGGAGUUUGAACAUGCUAUCUUUAUUAUCAAACUGAGCUCCUCAACCAUUCUAUACUUGGCUUGAGUUGAUGACAGCCCUCCUAGUUGAAGUCCUACAAAAUUGCAAGGGGUUUCUCAUAUUAUAGCGUUGAAGUAAAAAGACAACCUUUUCAAUUGAAAUGUUCUGAGUGAUCUUUUGGAAACACAGAGAUAUGAGUGUAAUGUUUGGUACAUUGGCACUAGGCAGUUCGAACAUAGGAAAAUUCAUACAAACUUGGAGGCAAAAAAAAUUGGACUAAUUUACAGCUCUCGUGACACCUUCAGGAAUUCAGUAAUAUUGCUUGCUGUGCUUUUCACAUAACAACAUGGGUUUUUUUGUUGAAUAUGGACGAUGCAAGAGUUGAGAGCUUUCAGAGUGUUUACUAUUGGAAAGCAAUGGUUCUUCUUGGGUUAGAACUCAUUGGCAGUGUUGAAGACCCUUGGGUAGGUGAUAUUUACUUUAGGGACUUGAGAACCUUUAUGAACAACUCUUUUGCAACAAUAGCAGUUCACUCUGUUUUAAGAUGAUUAGUUCUCAACAAGAAAAUGGGUAUUCUUCUUAAUUUGAGUUUUUAUUGUAACAUUAUAUUUGAAGUACACACCUUUACAAUUUAGUCCAAAGCUUGAUGGAUUAGCAUGCGUGAGGGUGCAGGACAAAAACUGUUCCUCUUUAUAUAUGACUCUUUCUACUGAAUGACCUUUGCUUCCCUCUCUUUUUA